rnacentral:lncRNA from 1 species
AUGCCUUACAACUCUGUGACUUAUUUAUUUUAUAACUGGAAGUUUGGACCUUUAAAAAAGUAAUUUAAAAAAAUUUUCAAAUAUGGGUGUUCUGUUCUCCUCAAGUUCAUUCAUCUUUGAUUUGUGUGAGGUUCUUUUUUCGUGUGUUAGACUUCAGUAUUUGAUGAUCCUUGGUUAUCCAUCUGUAUUUAGGAAUGAGGCCCUAAAAACUGUAUUUGAAAUGCUAUGCUCCCAGGUAGGGCUUAUCAAAAUUCUUAAUAAGGAAGAAUAAUAGGGUACAAGUACAAGUUUCAGAAAUGAAAGGAACAUAAGAAAAGGUAGAUCAUGAUUUUUUUUUUUUAAAGCAUUAUUGCUAGAAGGAAGACGGGGUAACUGGGUGAUGGGUGAUGGGCAUUAAGGAAGGUUCUGUGAUGUGAUGAGCACUGGGUGUUGUUAUAAGCAACAGAUGAAUUGCUCAAUUCUACUGCUGAAACUAAUAAUACUAUAUGUUAACUAAAUUGAAUUUGGGAAAAAUUUGUAAAAAAAAAAAUAGCAUUAUUGUUUUCUGUGACUCUUCUCUUCCAGUGUUUAUGGAUCUCCCCUCAUUAUAUUUGACUUGCCUGUGUGUGUUCUUCUGCCUCUGCCUCAGUGAUUUUGAGCACGAUCAUUCGACACAUUUUGGCAAAUGGGAUGUGACAUUUGUCAUAAGAUUUAAUUGUUUGUAUUUUAUUUACUUCAAGAGAGUGAAAAAGCAUGAGUGGAGGGGAGGGGCAGAGGGAGAGGGAGAAGCAAGCAGGUUCCCCAUGGCGCAGGGAGCCCCAUGCAUUCUGGAUCCCAGACUGGGAUCAUGACCUGAGCUGAAGGCUGUUGGCUUAACUGAGUCACCC